rnacentral:rRNA from 1 species
AAUCUGUCACAAUGGGCGAAAGCCUGAUGCCGCGAUGCCGCGUGCGGGAUGAAGGCCUUCGGGUUGUAAACCGCUUUCAGCAGGGACGAUUGUGACGGUACCUGCAGAAGAAGCCCCGGCCACCUACGUGCCAGCAGCCCCGGUAAUACGCAGGGGGCAAGCGUUGUCUGGAUUUAUUGGGCGUAAAGAGCUCGUAGGCGGUUUGGUAAGUCGGGUAUGAAAUAUCCAUGCUCAACAUGGAGGGGCCACUCGAUACUGCCAUGAAUUGAGUACGGUAGAGGAGUGUGGAAUUCCUGGUGUAGCGGUGAAAUGCGCAGAUAUCAGGAAGAACACCCGUAGCGAAGGCGGCACUCUGGGCCGAUACUGACGCUGAGGAGCGAAAGCGUGGGGAGCGAACAGG